UACGUAGGGUGCAAGCGUUAAUCGGAAUUACUGGGCGUAAAGGGCGCGUAGGCGGCCACCGCAAGUCGACUGUGAAAUCUCCGGGCUUAACCCGGAAAGGUCAGCCGAUACUGCGGGGCUAGAGUGCAGAAGGGGCAACUGGAAUUCUCGGUGUAGCGGUGAAAUGCGUAGAUAUCGAGAGGAACACCUGCGGCGAAGGCGGGUUGCUGGGCUGACACUGACGCUGAGGCGCGAAAGCUAGGGGAGCGAACGGG
rnacentral:rRNA from 1 species